AGAAUCAACGCUGGCGGCGUGCCUAACACAUGCAAGUCGAACGAGAAAGUGGAGCAAUCCAUGAGUAAAGUGGCGACCGGGUGAGUAACACGUGACUAACCUACCCUUGAGUGGGGAAUAACUUCGGGAAACCGAGGCUAAUACCGCAUAACACCUACGGGUCAAAGGAGAAAUUCGCUUAAGGAGGGGUCGCGGCAGAUUAGUUAGUUGGCGGGGUAAUGGCCCACCAAGACGGUGAUCUGUAUCC
rnacentral:rRNA from 1 species